GAUGAAGAACGUAGCGAAAUGCGAUAAGUAAUGUGAAUUGCAGAAUUCAGUGAAUCAUCGAAUCUUUGAACGCACAUUGCGCCCGCUAGUAUUCUGGCGGGCAUGUCUGUUCGAGCGUCAUUUCAACCAUCAAGCCCUGUUUAGGCUUGUGUUGGGGCCCUGCGGUUGCCGCAGCCCCCUAAAUGCAGUGGCGGGCUCGUUGUCACUCCGAGCGCAGUAGCGUAUCUCGCUCUGGGCGUGGCGGCGGGUGCUAGCCGUGAAACACCCACUAAGGUUGACCUCGGAUCAGGUAGGAAUACCCGCUGAACUUAAGCAUAUCAAUAAGCGGAGGA
rnacentral:misc_RNA from 1 species